rnacentral:rRNA from 1 species
UGAACGGAGAGUUUGAUCCUGGCUCAGGAUGAACGCUGGCGGCGUGCCUAACACAUGCAAGUCGAACGAUUAACCCAUUCUUCGGAAUGGUUAUAAAGUGGCGAACUGGUGAGUAACACGUAACCAACCUGCCUCGUACUUUGGGAUAACUUAAGGAAACUUCUGCUAAUACCGAAUAAUCUCUUACCCCCGCAUGAGGGUUUGAGCAAAGCGUUAUUGUAGCGGUGCGAGAUGGGGUUGCGGUCCAUUAGGUAGUUGGUGGGGUAGAGGCCUACCAAGCCGACGAUGGAUAGCCGAACUGAGAGGUUGAUCGGCCACAUUGGGACUGAGAUACGGCCCAGACUCCUACGGGAGGCAGCAGUGGGGAAUAUUGCGCAAUGGAGGCAACUCUGACGCAGCAACGCCGUGUGCAGGAUGACGGCCUUCGGGUUGUAAACUGCUUUCAGUAGGGAAGAAGUAAUUGACGGUACCUACACAAGAAGCUCCGGCUAACUACGUGCCAGCAGCCGCGGUAACACGUAGGGAGCAAGCGUUAUCCGGAUUCAUUGGGCGUAAAGCGCGCGCAGGCGGAUUUUUAAGCGGAACUUUUAACCCGAGGGCUCAACCCCCGGUCGGGUUCCGAACUGGAAAUCUUGAGUGCGGUAGGGGCAGGCGGAAUUCCAUGUGUAGCGGUGAAAUGCGCAGAUAUAUGGAAGAACACCGAUGGCGAAGGCAGC